rnacentral:rRNA from 1 species
CGCCAGACUCCUACGGGAGGCAGCAGUGGGGAAUAUUGCACAAUGGGGGAAACCCUGAUGCAGCGACGCCGCGUGAGUGAAGAAGUAUUUCGGUAUGUAAAGCUCUAUCAGCAGGGAAGAAAAUGACGGUACCUGACUAAGAAGCCCCGGCUAACUACGUGCCAGCAGCCGCGGUAAUACGUAGGGGGCAAGCGUUAUCCGGAUUUACUGGGUGUAAAGGGAGCGUAGACGGUGAUGCAAGUCAGAAGUGAAAGCCCGGGGCUCAACUCCGGGACUGCUUUUGAAACUGUGUAACUGGAGUGCAGGAGAGGUAAGCGGAAUUCCUAGUGUAGCGGUGAAAUGCGUAGAUAUUAGGAGGAACACCAGUGGCGAAGGCGGCUUACUGAACUGUAACUGACGUUGAGGCUCGAAAGCGUGGGGAGCAAACAGGAUUAGAUACCCGUGUA